rnacentral:rRNA from 1 species
GACUAACGCUGGCGGCGUGCCUAACACAUGCAAGUCGAACGAAGCAGCAAUGCUUAGUGGCAGACGGGUGAGUAACGCGUAGAUAAUGUGCCCUCUUGCGGGGGAUACCGUUUCGAAAGGAACGUUAAUACCGCAUAAAGUCCUUAGGAGGCAUCUCUUAGGGAUCAAACUUCCGGGGCGGGAGGAGCAAUCUGCGUACUAUCAGCUAGUUGGUGAGGUAAUGGCUCACCAAGGCUACGACGGUUAACUGGUCUGAGAGGAUGAUCAGUCACGCUGGAACUGAGACACGGUCCAGACUCCUACGGGAGGCAGCAGUGAGGAAUAUUGCACAAUGGGCGAAAGCCUGAUGCAGCGACGCCGCGUGGAGGAUGAAGGAUUUCGGUCUGUAAACUCCUGUCAGUAGGGAAGAGAAUGGACGGUACCUACUGAGGAAGCUUCGGCUAACUACGUGCCAGCAGCCGCGGUAAU